rnacentral:rRNA from 1 species
GACGAACGCUGGCGGCGUGCUUAACACAUGCAAGUCGAACGGAAAGGCCCUUUCGGGGGUACUCGAGUGGCGAACGGGUGAGUAACACGUGGGUGAUCUGCCCUGCACUUCGGGAUAAGCUUGGGAAACUGGGUCUAAUACCGGAUAGGACUACGGACUGCAUGGUCUGUGGUGGAAAGCUUUUGCGGUGUGGGAUGGGCCCGCGGCCUAUCAGCUUGUUGGUGGGGUGAUGGCCUACCAAGGCGACGACGGGUAGCCGGCCUGAGAGGGUGUCCGGCCACACUGGGACUGAGAUACGGCCCAGACUCCUACGGGAGGCAGCAGUGGGGAAUAUUGCACAAUGGGCGCAAGCCUGAUGCAGCGACGCCGCGUGGGGAUGACGGCCUC